rnacentral:rRNA from 1 species
UUAUUUAUUUUUUUUUAAUUUUUUUUUUAACUAAAUUAUUUUUAUUGUUUUAGUAUUUGUUUGGAAUUAAUUUUUUUUUUGAUAGUUUAUUAGUACUGUUAAGGAAUUUUUAUUUUUAAUAUUAAAAGCAGUUUUUAAUGUACCUUUUGUAUCAGGGUUAAUUUAUUUAUUUUAAUUUAUAAUAUUUUCCCGAAGGGAAAUGAUUUAUUUUUAAGUGUUGUUUAAUGUUUUAUAAUUAUCAAUUAUUUAUUAGUAGUAGUGAAAUGUUACUCGUUUUUUCUGUUAUCUGGUUUCUUAAGAUUAAAUUUAAUUUUUUAUUAUUUAGUUUAAUUUAUUAUUAUUUUUUUUUUAUUUUAUAUUAAUAUUUUAUUAGGGAUUAUCUUAGUAUUUUUUAAUAAUUUUGAUUAUUAAUAAUUUUUUUAGGCUUAGAAUUAGUCUUAAUAUAUUUUCGUAAUUGUUUAUUUUAAUAUGUGUUUUAUUUAUUUAUAUUUUAUUUUUUAUUAAGAUUUUUAAUUAAAUUUUUGUUUAUUAAUAAAUGAUUAAAUUAGUAUAUUUAUUAUUAUUAAUAUAGUAAUUCGGCAAUUAAUUAUUUUCCACCUGUUUAUCAAAAACAUGGUUUUUAGUUUUUAUUAAAAAUUUAGUCUGCCCAAUGAUUAUUUAAUGGCCGCAGUAAUUUGACUGUGCGAAGGUAGCAUAAUAAUUAGUCUUUUAAUUGAAGUCUUGUAUGAAUGAUUGGAUGAGAAAGUAUCUUUCUUUAUUAUUUUGAUUGAAUUUGAUAUUUAAGUGAAAAAGCUUAGAUUUUUCUGUGGGACGAUAAGACCCUAUAGAUCUUUAAAAUUUUUAUUUUUUUAAUAUUUUUUGAAUUAUAUAUUUAUUAUGAAAUUAUUUAUUUUUUUGUUGGGGUGAUAAAUUAAUUAAUAUAACUUUAUUAUAUUUUUUCAUUAAUUUAUGUUUUUUUGAUCUUUUAUUAAUGAUUAUUAGAUUAAGUUACCUUAGGGAUAACAGCGUAAUUUAUUUGGAAAGUUCGUAUUAAUAAAUAAGUUUGCGACCUCGAUGUUGGAUUAAGAUUAGAAUAAGGGGUAGGUUUUUUAUUUCUAGGUCUGUUCGACCUUUAAAAUCUUACAUGAUCUGAGUUCAGACCGGCGUGAGCCAGGUUGGUUUCUAUCUUCAGAUUUAUUAUGACUAUUUUAGUACGAAAGGACCAGCAUAGUUAACUUAUUAGUUUAUGUUUGAUUAUUAAUAUUA